rnacentral:rRNA from 1 species
AUUGAACGCUGGCGGCAGGCCUAACACAUGCAAGUCGAGCGGAGCGGCGGACGGGUGAGUAAUGCCUAGGAAUCUGCCUGGUAGUGGGGGAUAACGUCCGGAAACGGGCGCUAAUACCGCAUACUAUCAGAUGAGCCUAGGUCGGAUUAGCUAGUUGGUGGGGUAAAGGCCUACCAAGGCGACGAUCCGUAACUGGUCUGAGAGGAUGAACGGCCACAUUGGGACUGAGACACGGCCCAGACUCCUACGGGAGGCAGCAGUGGGGAAUCUUCCGCAAUGGACGAAAGUCUGACGGAGCAACGCCGCGUGAGUGAUGACGGCCUUCGGGUUGUAAAGCACUUUCAGCGAGGAGGCGUUACUCGCAGAAGAAGCACCGGCUAACUCCGUGCCAGCAGCCGCGGUAAUUC